rnacentral:rRNA from 1 species
GAUGAACGCUGGCGGCGUGCCUAAUACAUGCAAGUCGAGCGAACAGACGAGGAGCUUGCUCCUCUGACGUUGGCGGCGGACGGGUGAGUAACACGUGGAUAACCUACCUAUAAGACUGGGAUAACUUCGGGAAACCGGAGCUAAUACCGGAUAAUAUAUUGAACCGCAUGGUUCAAUAGUGAAAGACGGUUUUGCUGUCACUUAUAGAUGGAUCCGCGCCGCAUUAGCUAGUUGGUAAGGUAACGGCUUACCAAGGCAACGAUGCGUAGCCGACCUGAGAGGGUGACGGCCCACCCUGGACCGGGGCACCGCUCCAGCCCCCUCGGGGGGGCACAGGAGGGGAUCCUCCCGCAUGGGCCAAAGCCCGGCCGGGCCACCGCGGCGUGAGUAAUAAAGUUUUUCGUACCUAAAAACUUUGUAAUUAGGGAAAAAAAAAUUUGAAAGUAACUAUGCACGUCUGGACGGUACCUAAUAAGAAACCCCCGCCUAACUCCGUC